CCUGUCUUUGUGGCUCCGGAAAGGCGUUUGGGAUGCCAACGAUGAGGCUGCUGUCAUUUGUGGUGUUGGCUCUAUUUGCUGUCACUCAAGCAGAGGAAGGAGCCAGGCUUUUGGCUUCCAAAUCACUGCUGAACAGAUACGCCGUGGAGGGACGAGACCUGACCUUGCAGUACAACAUCUACAAUGUUGGCUCAAGUGCUGCAUUAGACGUGGAACUAUCUGAUGAUUCCUUCCCUCCAGAAGACUUUGGCAUUGUGUCUGGAAUGCUCAAUGUCAAAUGGGACCGGAUUGCCCCUGCUAGCAAUGUCUCCCACACUGUGGUCCUGCGCCCUCUCAAGGCUGGUUAUUUCAACUUCACCUCGGCAACAAUUACUUACCUGGCCCAGGAGGAUGGGCCCGUUGUGAUUGGCUCUACCAGUGCACCUGGACAGGGAGGAAUCCUGGCUCAGCGGGAGUUUGACAGGCGAUUCUCCCCUCAUUUUGUAAGCUUUCUAGUGUUCUCUCUCAUCAGUCCCUUGGUAUGAGAAUGCCCUUUUGGUUCUGGACCCUCUUGGCUUCCACAGACUUGUUUUGUUGGUUGGUUCUUGCCCUGUCUGUUUUUUGGUGUCUGAUAUAGAUACUCAUCAAAUAGAUUGAUUUAGCCACGUCCAGAGAUUUUUGGCAAUGAGAUCACAAUUGCCAAAACCAUAAAACUGACUUAAGUAGAGUCCC
rnacentral:sRNA from 1 species